GCCCGCCUAGCUCAAUCGGAUAGAGCGUCAGACUCUUACCGAUUCUAGGCGGAUCUGAAGGCUGCGAGUUCGACCCUCGCGGUGGGCU
rnacentral:tRNA from 1 species